rnacentral:rRNA from 1 species
UACGUAGGGGGCAAGCGUUGUCCGGAAUCAUUGGGCGUAAAGCGCGUGUAGGCGGUCCGCAAAGUCUGGUGUGAAAACUUAGGGCUCAACCCUAAGCCUGCACUGGAUACUGGCGGACUUGAGUCCGGAAGAGGAGAGUGGAAUUCCUGGUGUAGCGGUGGAAUGCGCAGAUAUCAGGAGGAACACCGAUGGCGAAGGCAGCUCUCUGGGACGUGACUGACGCUGAGACGCGAAAGCGUGGGGAGCGAACAGG